CGGUCUGUAAAUUUAAGUUUUAAGCUUUUAACAGCUUUCUAGUUUUUCUAGUUACCAUAUCCCAAAUGCAGCUUCGGUCUUUUUGCUAUGCUCUUCUUUUUUUCCCUUUGGUAUGAAAAUUGAAAAUGGCAAUAUAUGAUUCAUGUCUUUGAAAAGUGAAACUCAGAACUACAUCAUCAUUGAGAUAUAACAAACAUUUAUUCUAUUGUCAACUCACUCACAACAACUUUACAAGGCCAUCAAGCAAUCAAAUUUUAAGAAUUAUAUUAUGAUAUUCAUUUUCCGGGAACGAAGUUUGUGGCAUAGGCCCAGGCGUUGUUGUUAACUGGAUCUGCUAGGUGGUCAGCAAGGUUCUCCAAUGGACCCUUUCCUGUAACAAUGGCCUGAACAAAGAAUCCAAACAUAGAGAACAUAGCAAGUCUACCGUUCUUAAUCUCCUUUACCUUGAGCUCAGCAAAUGCCUCUGGAUCAUCAGCAAGACCUAAUGGGUCAAAGCUGCCACCAGGGUACAGUGGGUCGACAACCUCACCUAGAGGCCCACCAGCAAUACGGUAUCCCUCAACAGCUCCCAUCAAGACAACUUGACAAGCCCAGAUAGCCAAAAUGCUUUGUGCAUGGACCAAGCUUGGGUUGCCCAAGUAAUCAAGUCCACCCUCGCUGAAUAUCUGGGAUCCAGCCUUGAACUACACAGCCUCACCAAACUUGACACCAUUACGGGCCAAGAGCUAGGGGAAGACACAUCCAAGAGCACCAAGCAUAGCCCAUCUGCAGUGGAUCACCUCAAGUUCACGGUUCUUGGCAAAGGUUUCUGGGUCUGCUGAAAGUCCAGCAGUGUCCCACCCGUAGUCACCGGGAAAUUCACCGGUCAAGUAGCUUGGAGACUCACCUGAGAAUGGGCCCAAGUACUUGACACAGUCUGGCCCAUACCAUGGGCUGCCAGAUGAGGCAGGCUUGGAAACAGCCUUUCUCAUAGAGAUCCUUCCAUUUCCAGUGAUUUCUGAGGCAGAGGGUGAGAGUUUCACUGCCUGUCCAGCAAAAGAAGGGGAAGAAAGUGCCAUUGUAGAACUUGCCAUGGCUUAUCAAGAGAAAAGUAAGUGUUUGAUGGUAUGAAUAUUGUUGAAGUUGGUUGUGAUGAAGCUGAAGUCAGUUGGGUUUCAGAAUAUAUAGCAAGUAAGAGGGAAAGAAUACUUAUCUAGUGAUAUCUAUAUCUAUGAUCUCAUUGGGUAUCAAGAUCCCAUGUACAACAAUUAAUGCACUCUUGGGAAUCUCCAAUCCUUCAAUUUUCCAGGAUGUUCACUAAGGGGACCCAACCAAUUUUGUCCUCCUAUAUGUGGCUGCAAGGCUUGAAAUCUAUUCUAUGAUUUCUUGAGCUUCAAUAUGAUAUCUCUUAUCCAUUGGGAAUUUCUCAAGAUUUUAUCCACCAGGACUAUAGUUCAUUCAGAGUAGAACUAUGGCGUAGCAUUUCACUAAAUAAAUUGAGGAAAAGCUGAAAUUCAUUUGUAUCAGAUUAUCAAUUACUGAUGUUUGUCAAAAGAUUAACCUGUAAUUGCUUAAUAAGCAAAGUGGAUCAAGCUUUGAACUUUAUGAGUUUUGAAAUGUAGGACUAGACCUUAAGCAGUAUAUCCUCCGUCCUAAUUUAUGUGGCACAAUUGAAUUUCGAGAGUCAACCAAGUUUUUGUUUGAUGGAAUUUCUUUAUAUGUGUUUUAAAUAUUUCAAGUUGUUAAUUAUUGUGAUUUAUAGUAGUACUUUUUAUUUUUAGAUAACCAUGGUGUCCGAUAUUCGCCACCUCCCACCAACAUGGGAUUUGAACCUAAAACUUCUGAGGUUCUCAACCCACUUCAUUGACCAUUAGACCUUGGGUUCAUUGUGAUUUAUAGUAUUGUUUAAUAGUUUCCAAGUACAUUGAUUUUAUUUCAAAAAGCUUAAAACUUUGGUGUCCAAAUUGAUGUUGACACCUAAUUUUUACCCCCCCACCCCCCAUAACUAAGUUUAAUUUCGAGUUCUUCGAUUCUUAAUAAGAUUACAACAUUUAUUUUAUUGAAUAAAGGAAAUUUUCAAAAAUAUUUAUUGGGGUAAUUUCGUCACUUUAAGUAGCAAUAACAUGUUAUCGUGCCCGACUAUAUGAAAUUAUAUGCUUUGGUUACUUAAAUGGCUAUUUUCUAUAAAAUAAUCAAAGUUUGUCUUGAAAUAAUUUCGAAUGGUUAAUCUUGGUCUAAACAUAAUUUAAUCUCAAAAAUAAUUUGUAUUUAAUCUCAAAAAUAAUUUGUUCAUAUAAAUAUUUGUUUAAAUUUUAUUAAAUCAAGAAGCUCAGAAUUAAAGGAAAUAUUAAUUGAUUUCGAAUUUUGAUUCAAUUCGGCCAACCUAUCAGCUUCGACCACAAUUGAAAUUAGAUUGGCCAUUAUUGCGAGCAAUUGGCCAAUUGAUUUUAAAUUUGGCCAAAAUUUGAAUAAAUCAGCCAAAUCCCUAAUUACAUAAUCCACCCAAUUAAAUCAAUAUUGUCUCAUUUUAUAAACUACAAAUAGCAGCCCACUUUCUUAAUUUAGCUUACUAGCCUUGCCAACCUAAUAGUUAAGAUCAGCCCUUUCCCCUUUCAGUUGGGCCGUUAGUCCAAAACUUUCAGAUGACCCAACAAUUUUCAAAUGACAGCAAACCCAACCCAUUUUCUCAGCAAUCUUUUUCUUUAAUUAUAUUGACCGCCCCAGCCCAACAACAACAUCCGAUUCAUAACCAGGCGCAAUUUCAGCAUCCCCACCAGCCUAUUUUCCUUUUUCCUAUUUUCCUUUUUUUUCUCAAGCAGGCCUAAAUCAACCACCUGUGACCCGAUCCAACCCAAUUCCCUUUACCCCCUUUAUGUUCUUUCUCUUCAAACCAAGGGAAAACCAAAAACAGCUGUAAUACUACAACACCACCACCUUCAUCGACAACACAAGCAACCAACAACGGCGAAAAACCCGAAUCCAUCAACCCGAUAACCCGACUCCACCAGCCCCAACCCUUUUGUUUGCUCUCCACAAGCAUAUCACGCGUUAGAAAGAUGAGAAAGGAAUCCAAGAAAAAAUCAGUCCCAAACCUUCUAGAACGAGCCUACGUGUCAUCCCCAAAGGUUCAAUCCCGUGUUUCUCGGAUAAGAUUGUACGAUUUCGUACAGAGUUGGAUGAUUUUCAUUGGUUCUUGGAAAGAGUCCGUUUUUCCUAAAUGGUAUUAGUCUACCUGUCGCAAAUUUCUCCAAAAAAAUCCAAAGUUGGUAUGUUUUGGGCUAAAAAAUGAGGUUGUGGGAGGAUGGGAUUCUGAAUUUCGAAUUUCUCUUUUUUUUUAAUCCCUAGAUUACCCCCAAUUCAUCCCAUAUAUAAGGAUCCAUCGGGUCACUGUGAUGGGGGGAUUUUUUUUUAGAUGGGACUCUCCUCUUUUUUUCUAGGUUCACAACUUUAGAGGUAAAGGGAUUCCAACUGGGAGGUUUGGAAAAUUUCGCAAAAGUAUCGAGGGUUUUGGGGUCGAAAAAUUUUAGGAAAAAAUUUCUUAAAUUAGGAAAUUGAUAGAGAGGGCUAAGUUCAGAAACCAAGGAGGAAGUUUCUAGAGAAAGGAAACAAAAUUUUUAAUAUAGGUGUCUUUGGUCGACGAUUACUUCGAGCUUUCGUGGUCACCGUGUUAAAAUUUCUAGUGGUGUUGCAAUCCUGUCGUCAGCUCAACAACCCAUUUUGCUGCUCUGAAACAGGUAAACGCGUCUUUUCCUUUGAGUUUGUUUUGCUUCUUCAUCUCAUCCUUCAUAGUUUUGUAAUUAUAGUGAUAGUGGGAUGGUUUGUUGUAGAUGGUUGUUAUGGCCAUAGGAUUUUCUUGAAAAGAUUGCCGUUAUGUUGGUCGUUGCAUAAAUGUCUACACUCCAAUCCUUCGCUCCACUUUCGAUUUCGUAUGUUUCGGUUCGAUCGUUUUGACUCACCAUAUUAUUUUCAUGCUGUUAGUUAGUUUCAAUCCAUUCUUAAUAGUAAUCAAUGUUGUCAUGGUGGUGUUUUUUUUUAGUAUAAAUGUUGCUGAUUUUUUCAGUUUAAAUAGUAUUACUUUCAAUCUAGAAUAUUGUUAUUUUCUGAGUCUAAGUAUUGUUGGGUUUCAACCCCAAAUAUUAUUGUGUUUUUUAGUCCAAGUAGUGCUGUUUUUAGGCCUGAUUAUUGCUGUUUUUUAGCCUAAAUAUCGCAGGUUUUUAGCCUGAAUGAUGUUUCGGAACUUAAAUAUUUUUCCCAGACCUUGAACAUCGUCGUUGAACUCUUUGGUUUUGUUUUGUUGCGUCAAACAUGUAAAAUUUUCUUAAGUAGCAUACAGUUGAGUCGGAUCUUAUUUGGUUGUCUUUAGAAUCGAUCAAUAACAUGUUGGUUGUUUUGUUUCGAUUUAAAUCGGUCUUCCUUUCGAAUUAUAGAUGACCAAAAUAGAUAAUGUGCUUCUUUCUUCUUGAAAAUGACGUUCAAAACUGUUUGUGCUUGAGGCGUUGAUUUAUUUUUGCUUUCCCCCUUUGUUAAAAAUAUGUCCAAUUCAUCUUUUUGUGUCGAUUAGAACAGUGGCUUGUCAAUAUCCUAUUCUUACGUUGGUCUGAUUUUCGCUCAUAGGCUUAAAACUCUUAAGGUUUUGCAAAGCUAUUAUGUAGAAAACAACGAUUCUAUUGUCUUUUGGAUACGAAUCUGCAUCCUCAAUAUUUCUUCCGAUAAAUUGUUUCGGAGUCUAUCGUUUUCUCUUUUUGUCUUUGUUAAUAUGUGUCAUUUGCUACUACUUGUUGAUUCUUUGUUUGUAAUACUUGUUUUUCGGUUAUCUUCUACCCUGUUUAAUUAUCUGGUUCAAUAUAUUAAUUUUUUUUAGCUUCAAGAAUCUUGUGAUGAACUAUCACUUGUUGGUCAUUGAUAUCAAAAUAAAUCAAGAUGUGUUCAAACCAAGCUAUAUAAUUGGUCUUUUCUCUUAAGUUUGUGCUUUCUGGUUGAUAAAUUUUAAGGUGAUAUUUCUAUGGGUGAAAUGAAUCAGGAGCUUUACAUGAUAUUUCUUUUAAUUAGAUCACACUAGUACUGUUUUAUUCAUGCACCAAAUGUAUUCUUUUCCAUGUCAUCACUUAUUUGUUAAGUAACCAACUUUCAAACAUAUAUUAAUUUUCUUACUUUUUACUUUGCAUGUGGAUACGUUUGAGUCCUAAACGGACUCCUUUUCACCUUUGCAUCCUCGCUAUGGGCCCUUGAGGCUCACCUCGUUGAACUAAGCCCAAAAGAAGGUCCAAAAGGCCAUCGUUUGGCGUAUGGAUACGAGAAGACGGGAGGAAAGGAAAUGGAUUAAAGCCCUACAUUUGAAGCGGCUAAGAGACAAAAGUCUCAUUUAUUAUUUCAUUCUAUUUAAUUAUUGUUGCUUUUUUUAUUUAUUUUAUUUGUUUGUUCAUUUUAUUUAUUCAUUCGGAUCACGAAGCCAAAGUUGUAAAUUUAAUACAGGUGGAGCGAGACUCGAGCUAAAGACUCGAAAAACAUAGAAUUAGGAUAGGUGCAAAUGGGUCGAAAUCCUAACUAGAUUAGGAUAGGGUCGACGGUUUGGGCUUAAAAGCCUAAAUCAUUACUUUCCCACUUUUUUCCUUUUUUCUUUUCAUUUACUUGUUUGCUUGUCUCUUUGCGAAGUUAGUUAAAUCCCUAACUAAGUCACUAAAAAAUUGAUUUUGAAAUUUUUUUUAUUUAAUCAACUAUUUUUCUAGCAAAUUGAUUUUCCGAAGUUAAUCAAAAGAAUGUUUUUAAACAGUCCGGAUAACCGCAAGUUAACGGACGUUUUAGGUGCCUAACACCUUCCUAAAAUGUUAAUAGGAACUGCUUACUCAGAAUCUAUUAACUUAAACGAUUUUCCUGUUUUGAAUUGUUUGAUGUAAUUCUCUAAAGGUUUCUUAAUUUCUUUUCAAAAUUAAGUGGCGACUCUCUUUCAAAAGUUAAAAUUUCCGCAAAAUAGAAAUGGCGACUCUGCUGGGGAUUUUUUGAACUAGGUUCUAACCAAAUGUUUGAUUUUGUCUUUUGAUUAAAUGUUUAUGUGUUUAUAUAUUUCAAUUCUAUAAAUAUUAAUUAUCGCAUCUCAUGGCAUAUCCCUGCAUUAUUUAAACUGUUUUGGGAUUUUGUGGAUGUUCGGCCCUUGUUGUUUAAUUUCAAAAUGUGUUGGAAAUACGAACAUCUUAUUUGCACGUGAGUCAUCUGAUGCUGUUCGUAUUUUCAAACUCAAGUUGUCCUUUUGAGAAUCAGUGUUCAAACCACUCUAGACACAGAGGAUAGAACGAAACCAAAAUCCUAUUUUAGGCAUGAGUGUAGGACGAUCCAGUACCCGAGUGGGGUAUUGGGCCCAUUGGAAAACCUACCCUACGUCUAUUGACCCCGAGUUAAUUACAGACGAAUCAUAUUUAUGUGUUGAAAAAAAUACAUGCUUGUCUAAUUCAAUCCAUUAUCCUUUGGGGUCUGGGGAAGGCUUAUCUUUGUCUGCUUUCAUGUAGGAUAUGGCUCAACUACAUUCCCACGAAAAGUUCAAGAUGGUUACUAAACCUGACGAUUUCUUGAAACUAUGGUGGGACCACAUGAGCGCAGGAGAGAAAAAGAUUGUUAGAACACACAUUGGGCAUCUUCCUUCUUUGAUCGAGAUGGACGCUUGGCCCGAAAUUAUCCAUGUACUAAUAACUUUUUGGGAUGAUCAGAAUAUAGUAUUUCGCUUUAGGGAUGUUGAAUUGACUCCUACCAUUGAAGAGGUAUUAUUUGUUACGAGAGUACAGAAAUGUGUUUUAAGAGAAGGGAGACACCUGAUAAGAACAUUUUAGUCCCGAUUGUGUGGGAUCGUCAAAAGAUCAAGGAGGUAUUUUUAACUAACGACGACACCUGGCUAGGAGAACGUGUGGAGAAAAUAUCACUUUUCGUGAGUUGUAUCGUCGGUUCGGGAGAUUCAAUGCUUUUCACAAAUUUGGGCAUAAAUAUGAGUCAGAAGCAAAAUGGAAAGAGUCGAGAGCCUUUGCAUUUGCGGUAGGCCUACUUUGAACCAUGGUGUUCCCACAAGGGGAAAAUGGCACAAUUCAUCCGAGGGUUGUCUCAGUGACCUAUGCACUCUUCUUUGGAAUGGAGUACAAUUAUAAAAAGGUAUUUCACAACUUAGAUCCUAUGAUUGUUGCCGACUUAUAUCGAACUUUGGGAAGGUGUCAAGUCGAUAAUCGUUUCUUUCAAGGCUGCAACCUUAUGUUACAAUGGUGGAUGAUGAUUCAUUUGGUGAAAAAUCCUAGAAUGACACAACCUGACCACAAAACAAGGUGGAAUCUGCUAGAAUCGCACGACAUGUGGUUGUUUUUACACAGGUUCAAAAGGGAAGCAUCUCAUGAAUUUUGGCUUAAGACUCUUGGAGAAUUAAGAGAUGACGAUGUCCAAUGGUCCCUUAACUAUCUUCAUUCAGGGAAAUACAUUAUUCAAGGGGGUGAGUGGCCUUUUCUAGUGCUUCCGGGUAUCAGGGGAACCUGUCCCUACAAUUCUGGUAGAGUUCUUAGGCAAUUUGAGAUCAAGAAGGAGAUGCCUCAAAUCGAUUCUAUGCUCAGAUUCUUCACCGAAUAUGAUGAAACCGAGCCCUCGCUCAAAGACUACAUGAUAAACGAAUUUAGAAGGAGAAGGUGGACGGAAGUCUCUUUCCAUAUAGGGUAUGUACCUGAAGUCAACGAUACUUACAAGGAGUGGGUAAAAAAGAGCCUCAGUGGUGCAUUAAUUUCGGGGCCAAACGUGCCCACUUGGGUCGUGGAUGUAGAAUUCGAGCAUCAGAUCCAACUCCACAGGCUUCAGGAUAAAUUUUAGAAAAAUGAAAUCGCGCACCGACAUCGCAUGUAGAAGAUGCUUUAACAAUACGUAUGUUGAGGGAAGAGUUGAAAAGAGCUAGGCAAGAGGCUGAUGAUGCUAGGCAGUGUUUAAUCGAUUUGGAUGAUAGCAUGGCCUCUCAACUCGAUAGUAUAGGGAAAAUGACUUACCACAGCAAGGCACAAUUAUACGGGAGUCAUCUGAUCAUCAAUAGGUAUCAAAUAGCACAGGAGGUGAACAAGGAAAAGAAGGCAAAGACAGACAAAGGAGCCUCCGUUAGCUAGUUUUUCUAUUUCCCCUGCGCGGGAACUUAUUUUCUUUCAUGUUAUUUCCCUUUUUUCCUAAAGAUUGUAUCCCUCUUUUCUUAUUUUUUUGAAGGCAUCUAUGCCCUUUUUCGUGUCUAUAUAAAUUAGGGGAUAAUGGAUUGACUUUAAGGAAGCAUAUAUUUUCUUCAAAAUCGUUAGGCCUGAACCCUUGGCUCAAAAAGGGUCACCCCAGUUAGGAUACGCAUUAUUAUAAUGUUUUGUGUGAUAUAAUUGUCUUAUGUUCUUAUGUGUGUUUAUUUGGAUCAACGGCAAGUUUAUUCGCUAUACUCCUAUGGAUGAAUUUGGCUAUGACUCAAAAAACUCUAUGUGAUUAUUUCUUGUCAAAUAUUUUGCAUUACUUAUCACAUACGGAAACUAACACAUCUGCCUUUGAGUUGUUUUACUUAACAGAUAGUAGAAACUACUCUGUGUUGAUAUAAGUUGGCAGAACAUCCCUACUUCACCCGGUCAAAAGCGCACAAAAUCCCAUCCUCUGACCAUCAUUUAAUAAUACUAGAAAUAAUGAAGAAAACGCAUUGACCAUCAGGGACAAUCUAAUAGUGGAACAGAAUGAGAUGAUUACGGAACUCGCAAGAAAGCUUGAAAUGCUUCAGGAGGAAAUAAAUUGUACUCGAGAUUUGGCUCACCUGGCCAUCACUGUUAAUGCUCCCGCUCCAGGAGGACACGGGACUCCACUCCAAAUACCUUCCCUUAGUACGCCUAUUCUCGGGGAUCAGCCAAAUAACAUAUCAUCCGUCUCUGCCCCUUCACUUGUCCAAAAUACCAAUCGCGAAAAUAACCCAGAUGCCUACCAUCCACAAAAUCCAUCUCUAACCCCACAAAACCCAUCUACGAAUCUAUUCCCAAAUCCCCAGAACACAUUUUCAAAUCAAGAAAAUUCAUUCCCAAAUCCACAGGAUUCACUUCCAAACCCGUAAAAUCCAUUAAAUCUAUUCCCGAAUCCACCAAAUUCGUUUCCAAAUCCGCAGAAUUCUCCUCCAAUUCCACCAAACCACUCGUAAAUUCCACAAAACCUUCCUAAAUUUUAAAACAUCAUCCCCACCUACCAAUAAACUUCCUUUCAUCUGCAAAAUCAAGCCUCCUUUCCAAAUCUCCCUCAUGCCAUCAUAUCCCCUGACAUCUAUAAUCCCCUACCUAAUUUUGAGAUGGACCAUUACUAAGAGAAGGAGAAAGAGUGGAUGAUCGAGGAUGAAAUUAGGUUGCUAGCUAUGAAUGAAGAGAUCAUGAGGAUCAAAGAAUCUCAUGAAGCGAGGGACCACGACGGUUUAGGGUAUGAUGACUUAUGUGUUCACUCUGGAGUAGAUCUACCAGAAGGGUACAAGGUCCCCAAGUUUGAAGUGUUUGAUGGUGCUGGGAAUCCAAUGGCCCAUCUGAGGAGGUACUGUAAGCAACUGGUAGGGAUCGAGAAAAAUGAGGUGUUAUUGAUGCGCCUAUUCAGCCGAAGUUUAAGCGGUGAAGCCUUAGAGUGGUUCAUGUAUCAGUAGCCAAAAAAAAUGGACUGGUUGGAAAGCAUUGGCUAAGGGUUUCCUCGAAAGGUUCUCAUUCAACAUUGAAAUUAUCCCGGACCGGUAUUCACUAGAUCGGAUCAAACAAAAGAGUGAUGAGAGUUUUCGAGACUAUGUUUUUCGUUGGAGGAAGGAAGCUGCCAAAGUUCAACCCUCCAUGUCUGAGGAAGAAAUGGUAUCCGUAUUCUCUCACGCUCAAGAAGGACAAUAUUAUACCAGGAUGGUGUCCGCUUCAGGGCAACUUUUGCAGAUUUGGUAAAAAUUGGGUAAUCACUGGAAGAAGGUAUUCGUACAGGAAAAAAUUGCCAAGACCCCAACAUCGUUCGAAACUGCUAUGUUCUCGAAGAAGAAAAAAGAGGAUGUAGGCACGGUUUCUGCUGAUUCUAUUGCAAAAACGAAAAAAAGGUUCAACUCUAGGAAUGUUUUCUCUUCUCCACCAUCACCAAACUUUCAGCAUGUAUUCUACACCCAACCCCAAUACCAAGCUUCACUUCCAAAUAUCCAACCUCAGUACCAAACUCCACUCCCAAAUAGUCAACCCCAGUACCAAGCUCCACUCCUAAAUGUCCAAUCCCAAUUCCAAGCUUCGCAGCCAAAUAUUUUUCCCUAAUGUCAAGUUCCACCGCUGAAUUAUCAUCCUAAUAUCCAAUCCACUCUUCCAAACAUCCGAAAAAACAUCCAAGCACCUCUAAAUUAUCAUUAAGUGCUUCCUCCUGCAAAUCAAAAUCAUUAUAACACUCCGCAUCCAAACAUCAAAAAUAAACCUCCCCAAAACUCCACGUUGCUUGCUGAAAGUCGCACCCAACUAUUUGAAAGAUUGAAGAAUAUCGGUCACUUGUAAUCGAUCCAGUUAAAUCUUGUCAAUCCCAACUCUCGAUUUUAUUAUCCUGAUCAAAAUUGUUCUUAUCAUUAAGGAGCAGCAGGGCACAGUACCGAGGACUGUUUUAUCUUGAAACAGAGGAUCCAAGAUCUGAUUGAUCAAAAGGUCAUCACGCUUCAGUCACCGACACCAAAUGUCAAUAGUAACCCAUUGUCUAAUCAUGGGGGAUCUACUAUUAACAUGAUUGAAAUGAAACGAGAAUGGGUGUCUGGCAAGACUAUUACUAAGAUGAAUUCAGAAGAGUGCAAAAGGGCGGAAGAGGUAGAAAAGAUAGAGAGAGUUGUGGCUACCUUAAGUGUCAACGAGAAAGCCCCAUUUAUAGUGAUGACGGCCCCUAUCCAAGUGUACACUCACCCGCCAAGGAAGGAAUUUAUUGUACAGACCGUUGUUGCCUAAGGGAUGAUGCAAUCGGGAUGAUGCUACAUCUCUAAAGAAUUGACCAACAAAAAAAAUUCACAGAAAAGGCCAACCACUAAAGGGGAGGAUGAGGAAUUUUGGAGGCGUAUGCAACCCAAAGAUUAUUCAAUUUUCAAACAUUUAGAGAAGACGCCGGCCCAAAUCUCCAUUUUGGCACUAUCAAUAAGUUCGCAAUACCACCGAUAAGCUUUAUCAAAGGUCUUGGAUGAAGCGUAUGUUCCCGUAGGAACGAGUGUUGAGAACAUGGUUGCGAUGAUAGAAAACAUUGUGGGGAAUCAUCGUAUAUCAUUCAGUGAUGAAAAGUUGCCUUUUGAAGGAGUGAUGCACAAUAAAGCCUUGCAUGUCACUGUCAUUUGCCAAGAUUAUGCGAUUAAUCAGGUAUUAAUAGAUGAUAGAUCUGGUGUGAAUAUUUGUCCCCUCUCCACGUUGGUUCAAAUGGGCUAUAAUUUGGGAAAAAUUCAUCAAAGCCACAUAAAUGUGAGAGCAUUCGAUGGAGGGCAGAGAGAUACCAUAGGAGAAAUUGAUUUGUACAUCCAAAUGGGACCUGCUGAGUUCAAAACUAAGUUUCAUGUUAUGGAUAUUCAUCCUAGCUACAACCUUCUCUUGGGAAGACCAUGGAUACAUGGUACAAAGGCCGUUUCAUCACCCCGUCAUCAACUAUUGAAAUUCAUUUGGGAGGAUCAUGAAGUAGUCAUCCAAGGGGAAGGAAGCCGAGCGGAUCGUCCCAAUGGUUAUGUGCCGGUAAUUGAAGAUGUUCCAAAGGGUAGUAGUUUCUAUACGGUUGAAAUUAUAAAUGCUGUGGAGAAGGAUCUGACGCUCAAAGGGACAAUGCCUUCUUUCUAUAAAAUAAUUGCGACGGUGAUGUUAAGAAAUAGAUUCGAGCCUGGUCGGGGUUUGGGUACGAAUCUACAAGGAAUUAUUGAGCCUAUUAUGAUCCCAGAGAAAGCCUUUAAAUAUGGGUUAGGAUAUCACCCUACCGAGAAGGAUAUGGUUGAGGAUAAGUUAGAGCAGAGUCUGUGUAGGCCCUUUUUGCUUUUAUACCAGUCAUUUCCUAUACGGGAGAUGUCGAAUGAUGAUGGUCUUGAGUAUGGGAUAGGAGAUUUGUUUGAGGGAUGCAAUGCUAUACCAGAAGAUUUCCCAAAGUCCGGCGGGGUGAAGAAGAUUGCGCCAGGGGAGGCCUUGAAAAACUGGACCUCCACUCCAACCCGUCGCCCAUCGUGGUAGAUGAAAGGGCAAUUCAGAAUAGUUUUAAAAUCAGUGAUGAUCUGGAAGAGGCCCCACGAUCCACACUUUAUAUCUCAAAACUUUAUUUUUAUAUUUUACUGCUUUCAAAAAGGCAUGGACUUGUAUUUGCACGAGUCAUGAGCCAUGGUUUUGUAAUUAUCUCGCAAAUUUCAUUGAAAAGGCCUUCAUUCAUUUAAAAAAAAAUUAUUAUUCCUGAAACAUUCCUAUUCGUAUAUUUUAUUAUUAUCUUAUUAUCAUCUAACUUGGUUUGUUUGUCCAUUACAGUAACAGUAACUUAAAAUCUGCCAAUGUCAUGUCAUAUCAAAGCUUAGACGAACAAAAUAAGGGGAAUGAUGAUGAUUGGAAGGACGGUGAUGAGGAACAAUUAGUUGAAGAUAUAGAGGAGUUUGAGAAUCGAGAAAAGCCUAACCUAGAGGAAACUAAAAUAGUCAACCUCGGAGAUCAAGAUGAAAUCAAAGAAAUAAGUGUCAACGUCCACUUGGCGGAAGCACAAAAGAGAGAGCUCAUUCACCUGUUACAGGAAUAUAUUGACGGUUUUGCUUGGUCCUAUGAUGAUAUGCCGAGAUUGAGCACCAAUAUUAUGUCGCGUAAGUUGCCAAUAAAUCCAGAGUUUGAUCCAGUCAAGCAAAAAAUACGGAAAUUCAAGCCAGAUUUAAGUCAAAGAUCAAGGAAGAAGUGACAAAACAAAUCCAGUCUAAGGUUGUGGAGGUCACAAAAUAUCCAACAUGGUUGGCCAACAUUGUCCCUGUGCCGAAGAAGGACGACAAUAUUCAAAUUUGUGUUGACUAUAGAGACUUGAAUAGAGCCAGUCCUAAAGAUAAUUUUUCGUUGCCCAAUAUCCACAUCCUCAUCGAUAACUGUGCAAAGCAUGAAAUUCAGUCAUUCGUUGAUUGUCUUGCCGGGUAUCAUCAGAUAUUAAUAGAUGAGAAAGAUGCAGAAAAGACGACUUUUAUUAAGCCCUGGGGUAUUUAUCAUUACAAGGUAAUGUCGUUUGGUCUCAAGAACGUGGGUACAACAUAUAUGAGGGCUAUGACGAUGAUUUUCCAUGAUAUGAUCCAUAAAUAGAUUGAGGUGUAUGUGGAUGAUGUAAUUAGCAAAUCCUGCGAGAGUUCAGAUCAUCUGACUCAUCUGGAGAAAUUCUUUAACAGAUUAAGAAAGUACAGUUUAAAGUUAAAUCUUGCUAAGUGUACUUUUGGUGUGCCAUCAGGGAAGUUACUGUUCAUAGUUAGCAGAAGAGGCAUCGAGUUAGACCCAUCCAAAAUCAGGACAAUCCAGGACUUGCCAUCGCCGAGGACUAAGAAGAAAGUUAUGAGUUUCAUGGGUCAUUUGAAUUACAUUAGUAGCUUCAUCGCUCAAUCGACAUUCAUAUGCGAUCCAAUUCUCAAGAUAUUGAAGAAAAAUUCAUUGAAUGAGUGGACAGAAGAAUGUCAGAGAGCUUUUGACCACAUCAAAGAAUAUCUAUCUGCACCACCGGUUUUGGUUCCACCAAGAGAAGGAAUUUCAUUAUUGCUUUACCUGUCAGUCCCAAAAAAUGCUUUUGGAUGUGUCCUCGAGCAACAUGAUGAGACCGGUAGAAAAGAGAAAGCCAUUUACUACUUGAGUAAAAAGUUUACGCCAUAUGAAGCCCGUUAUACUCUUGUAGAAAUGACAUGUUGUGCUUUGACUUGGGCUGCACAAAAGUUAAGGCAUUAUCUGUCUUCGUACACGACAUACAUCAUCUCGAGAAUGGAUUCAUUGAAGUAUAUAAUACAGAAGACUAUACCCACAGGAAAGCUAGCCAAGUGGCAAAUAUUGCUAAGCGAGUUUGACAUCAUGUAUGUAACUCAAAAUGCAAUCAAGGGGCAAGCUUUGGCAGAUAAUUUGGCAGAGAAUCCAGUUGAUGAUGAGUAUGAACCACUUCAAACUUACUUCCCAUAUGAGAAAAUUCUAUUUGUGGGAGAAGACAUUACAGAAAUUUACCCUGGAUGGAGGUUAUUCUUUGAUGGAGCGGUCAACUUCAAAGGUUCAGGAAUCGGAGCAGUGUUGGUCUCAGAAAUGGGUCAACAUUAUCCAGUAACUACUAAGUUGCAUUUCCCAUGCACCAACAACAUGGCCGAAUAUGAAGCUUGCAUCCUGGGUCUCAAAUUGGCACUUGAUAUGGGUGUUCGUGAAUUGCUAGUCAUCAGGGAUUUAGAUUUGCUGAUUCACCAGGUACGGGGAGAAUGGGCGGUAAAAAAUUCCAAGAUUACUCCUUAUGUUGAGCUGGUACAGGAAUUAUGUGGAAAAUUCAAAGAAGUUGAUUUCAGACAUAUCCCAAGAAUACAAAAUGAGUUUGUUGACGCUUUGGCCACUAUAUCCUCUAUAAUUUGGCACCCAGAUCAGAGUUAUAUUAAUCCUUUGGAAAUAAGCUUGAAGGAGCAACCUGCGCAUUGUGCACGUGUUGAAGAGAAGCCCGAUGGAAAGCCAUGGUACUAUGACAUUAAAAGGUAUUUAGAAUCUGGAAUAUAUCCUGAAGAGGCCAGCAACAACCAAAAGAAACAACCCAGCGUUUGGCAAAAAACUACUUUCCAAGUGGGGAAUUUCUUUUUAAGAGGACACCUGAUUUAGGAUUUUUAAGAUGCGUAGAUGCUGUGGAAGCCAAUAAAUUGAUAAAAGAAGUACACACAGGAGUUUGCGGACCCCACAUGAAUGGGUUUGUCCUUGCCAUAAAGAUCCUGAGAACCGGCUACUUCUGGAUAACUAUGGAGAAUGAUUUAGUAAGUAUGUGCAGAGAUGUCCAAAAUGCCAUACACAUAGAGAUUUGAUUCGAAUGCCUCCACACGAGCUUCAUGAAAUGAAUUCACUUUGGCCUUUCGUAGCUUGGGGCAUGGAUGUUAUCGGACCGAUAGAGCCAUCAGCAUCGAUAGGCAUAAAUUUAUUUUUGUUGCCAUUGACUACUUCACUAAGUGGGUCAAAGCUGCAUCAUAUAGAUUCGUCACUAAGAAAAUGGUUGCAGCUUUCGUUAGGAAUAACUUGAUUUGCCAAUUCGGAGUACUGUAAUCAAUCAUUACUGAUAAUGGGGCAAACUUGAACAGUCACUUGAUGAAAGAAAUUUAUGAUCAGUUCAAAAUUGUGCAUCGCAACUCUACCGCAUAUCGUCCACAGAUGAAUGGAGCCGUAGAAGCUGCCAAUAAGAACAUCAAGAAGAUCUUGAGAAAGAUGGUCAAAAUGAUAGAUCAUGUCAUGAGAUGUUACCUUAUGCUUUGCUAGGUAUCGCACAACAGUUCGAACCUCCAUCUGGUCAACUCUCUAUUUGUUGGUUUACGGGAAUGAAACUGUGAUACCUGUUGAGGUUGAAAUACCUUCCCUGAGGAUUAUUCAAGAGGCCGGACUAAGUAACAAAGAGUGGGUUCGCGCUCGUUGUGAACAACUCAUGUUGAUUGAUGAAAAGAGAAUGGUUGCCAUGUGUCAUGGUUAGUUAUAUCAGCACAAGAUGAUUCAUGCUUUCAACAAGAAAGUGAGAGCUCGAACAUUUGAAGUUGGGCAAUUAGUUCUCAAAUGCAUACUCCCUCACCAAGAAUAUUACAAGGGCAAGUUCGCUCCAAAUUGGCAAGGUCCAUACAUAGUUCGCAAGGUACUAUCUAGAGGGGCUCUGAUUUUUCUGAGAUGGAUGGCCAUGAGUGGACCAAACCAAUCAAUUUUGAUGUGGUGAAAAGAUACUAUGUUUGAAGGGCGUUCUAGUUUUAUGGUUCUUAGUUUAUCUGUAAUCGCCAUGUAAUAAUGUGUUUUAUGAUGUGUAAUUGCCUAGAACACUUUUCCCUUUAUGUACGAACUAUGUUUGACCUGAAUUCCCAAGAAAGGGAUACGUAUGCGGCCUAUGUCGGAUUCGGUCAACCUCUUAGAGAAUUUAUUCUUUCCCUUUAUGUAUGAACUACUUGAUGACCUGAAUUCCCAAGAAAGGGAUACGUAGGCGGCCUAUGUCGGCUUCGGUCAACCCAUUAAUUUGUUUUGUAUAUUCCUAGCGUAAUCCUAAACUACAUUUGACCUGAUUCCUACUUCAACGGGAUACGUAGGCGCCCCAACGGUUCGAUCAUAUAACCCCAAGAAAUGAAAACUGGGGCAGAAUUUUUGAGAAGGAAUCUCGAAAAUUCACAAGAGAAGAUCAACAUCCAACAAAGAGAACGAAGAUCAGCAAAGACUUUAGAUCCACUCAAGAUGAUAUCAUCUCAGACUACUUUAAACUGGGGCAGAAAUUUUAAGGAAGACCUCAAAAUUUCAAUCAAAUACUGGAAUAUAUUUUAGAUUCCCCAGCACUAGAGGUCAAAGUUGAGAUUUGAGAAUAACCACCUGUGAUAAAGUCUAGGAAGACUGAAUCUCCAUCUUUGAUAAAACCUCUGGUAGAGAGCCUCGACAAUCUUGAAUCCCAGCUAUCCUCCGUCAAACGUCAGACAUUGUCAGAAUCAAGAUAAAGAAGGUCGUUGAGCUAGCACAUGACAUGACUGGCAAAGAUUUUUCAAAGUUUUGCAGGAGUUCUCAAAAUUAUUUUCUAAAAAGUAAGAGUACUAAAAUCUAUAUAAAUCUUUUACUUAGUUAUUGCCUAGACAUCAAUUAGGACGGAGAGUCAUAAGUAGAAGUCCCAACACGACGAAAUACCUGAAAAAUGGCGAAAGGUAAAUCAAGGAUCGAAGGAGGUCAACACGAAGUAGUUUCACUCAAACUAAUCAUUUUUUAUGGGCGCAAGGACCAAUACACAAAAAUGAAAGUCUCUUUCAAAAAUCUCCGAGCAAAUUGGGAGCCACACCAGAGCACUAAUGCUCAAGAACAGUAUUUUUGGGUAGCCCUAAAAAUGGGUUUAGUACCCAUAUAUUGAAGACCUUUUAAAGUUGUCCAUCUCAUUUCUUGAGAUCAUGGAGGACAAAUAAAAGUGUCUUGUCUUCUUUACAAAUAUUGUAUUUAGAAUUUUUCUAAAAAACAUUCGCUAGCAAAAACGACUUUGUGUCUACUAAUCGUCUACCUUGAGUAUAGGUACAUGCAGAAAGCAAGAUCCUGACAAAUGAUUUCAGUUGAAACUAUUUUUAAUUUACCGGAAGAACCAUUGCAUAUCAUUGCCGAAAGAACAAUUUGAGAGAUUAUCUAUAAGUCAUAUUGUAUCCAAGGUCGGAUGAUAUGCAGGAACCCCUGAAAGCUAGCGAUUGGAGGGAUAUCUGUAAGCUGUCUCUUAUCCAAAGUCGAAUAAUUUGCAGGAUUACCUAAAAGCUAGAAAUUCAAAGGAUAUUUGUAAGUUUCCUCUUAUCCAAUAUCAAAUAAUGUGCAAGAUUAUCCAAAGAUUGAUAAUUUAAAGGAAAUUUAUAAAUCAAUCAUCGUCAAUAACCAAAAAGGUUAUCCUUCCACAUACAACAAGAAUUAUAGGUGACCGAAGAAGUUACCACAUCUACACAAGAUUACAUGGUUGUGAGGACCAUUCUUCAUAAAAUAUCAUUGAUGUCCGAAGGGCCACCCCACUUUGAAGAUAUAUUCAACCGACAAAUGCCAUAAUUAUACAACUAUCAAGAAGGUUGUUGUGCCUGUUAUUUCAAGUUAUUUCCUUUCAAACAGGUACAAGAAAGGAUGACUUCGCUUUUUAGACAACAACUCACGCGGAGAUAUGGUAAAAUACUAUAUACCUCUUUCGUGAGUUAUGCUUAUCACUAAUGAUUUUUGUUUGAGAUAUUGUCGAGAGCAUCCGAGAGGAUAAAAAUCUCAAAUCAAAACCACAAGUGAGGACGACUCCAAAAAGGACGCAGCACAACGUGGAACUCUUUCUUAGCAGCAAAACGGGACAUAGUCUAGACAGGGAUGUCAAACUCUCUGGAUGCGAGCUAAAUGAUGAUUACCACCACCAUCUAACCACACCCCUUUUAGAAGGCAUGUGGGUAUUUUGGGAUAUUCUGGUUUCAGCUUCACCUUCGGGAUAUUUUCUUUACUCAUACCGAGGGUAACCUUCUCUUUCUUUCAAAUUUGGGUGACAACAUACUUAGAGUUUUGAAAAUUAUGUCCAGGUAAGUUCUUAUCUAUGGAUGUGAAGGAUCCCACAUUCAUGAUUAAGAGGUUACAAACCUUUUUUCCGCAACUCAGUCAACUUGUCACUUAUCCUGAUCCAAAGAUUGUCUAAAAAUAGAAGACUAUCUUUUCUACCGAUAGAGUCGAACUACAAGCAGUCUGAUUCCCUGAGUCUCGGGGAUAUGUAAGCUGGGCUCUAUGUAGAAAACUCAACUGAAUUCCAACCUCCCCCCAAAUCCCUCUAUUCCAUAGCUUUUUGAUUUUGUCAAAAACUCCAAAAAUCGAGACAACUUGUGAAUUUUUUAAAAAUCAUGCUUUAAAUCAUGCUUUAUGAACUACAAGUGGCCUGAAUUCUCAUGCCACCUGAGAUAUGUAGGAAACCUGAUGCCAAGGUUCGGCCAUAACUCAUUAAACUCGUGCUUAAGCCAACCUUUUUCAGAUGUGAAUUUGUGAUCAAACAAAAAUUAGGAACGUCAACCUCCCUUUGCCUAGGAUUACUUGCAUCCACCCUACCCAAAGGGAGGGGGCAGUUGUUGACACCUAAUUUUUACCCCCCAUAACUAAGUUUAAUUCCGAGUUCUUUAAUUUUUAAUAAGAUUACAACAUUUAUUUUAUAGAAUAAAGGAAAUUUUCAAAAAUAUUUAUCGAGGUAAUUUCGUCACUUUAAGUAGCAAUAACAUGUUAUCGUGCCCGACUAUAUGAAAUUAUAUGCUUUGGUUACUUAAAUGGCUAUUUUCUAUAAAAUAAUCAAAGUUUGUCUUGAAAUAAUUUCGAAUGGUUAAAAUCUUGGUCUAAACAUAAUUUAAUCUCAAAAAUAAUUUGUUCAUAUAAAUAUUUGUUUAGAUUUUAUUAAAUCAAGAAGCUCGAAAUUAAAGGAGAUAUUAAUUGAUUUCAAAUUUUGAUUCAAUUCGGCUAACCUGUCAGCUUCGACCACAAUUGAAAUUAGAUUGGUCAUUAUUGCGAGCAAUUGGCCAAUCGAUUUUAAAUUUGGCCAAAAUUUGAAUAAAUCAGCCAAAUCUCCAAUUACAUAAUCAACCCAUUUAAAUCAGUUUUGUCCCAUUUUGUAAACUACAAACAGCAGCCCACUUUCUUAAUUUAGCUUACUAGCUUUGCCAACCCAAUAGUUAAGAUAAGCCCUUUCCCCUUUCAGUUGGGCCAUACAGUUGGGCCGUUAAUCCAAAACUUUCAGAUGACCCAACAAUUUUCAAAUGACAUCAAACCCAACCCAUUUCCUCAGUAACCUUUUUCUUUAAUUAUAUUGACCGCCCCAGCCCAACAACAACAUCCAAUUCAUAACCAGGCCCAAUUUCAGCAUCCCCACCAGCCUAUUUUCCUCUUUAUUCUCAAACAGGCCCAAAUCAACCACCUGUUACCCAAUCCAGCCCAAUUCUCUUUACCUCCUUUAUCUUCUUUCUCUUCAAACCAAGGGAAAACCAAAAACAGUUGUAAUACUACGACACCACCACCUUCAUCGACAACAUAAGCAACCAACAAUGGCAAAAAAUUUGAAUCCAUCAACCAGAUAACCCGAAUCCACCAUCCCCAACCAUUUUGUUUGCUCUCCACAUGCGUAUCAGGCAUCAAAAAGACGAGAAAAGAAUCCAAGAAAAAAAUAGUCUCAAAUCUUCUAGAACGAGCCUAGGUGUCAUCCCCAAUGGUUCAAUCUCGUGUUUCUCAUAUAAGAUUGUACGAUUUCGUACAGAGUUGGAUGAUUUUCAUUGGUUCUUGAAAAUAGUCCAUUUUUCCUAAAUGGUAUUAGUCCACCUGUGGCAAAUUUCUCUAAAAAAAUCCAAAGUUGGUACGUUUUGGGCUUGAAAAUGAGGCUGUGGGAGAAUGGGAUUCUGAAUUUUGAAUUUCUCUUUUUUUUUCAAUCCCUAGAUUACCCCGAACUCAUUCCAUAUAUAAGAAUCCAUCGGGUUACUGUGAUGGGGGGAUUUUUUUUUUAGACGGGCUUCUCCUCCUUCUUUCUAGGUUCGCAACCUUAGAGGUAAAGGGAUUCCAACUAGGAGGUUUGGAAAAUUUUGCAGAAGUAUCGAGGGUUUUGGGGCCAAAAAAUUUUAGGGGAAAACUUCUUAAAUUAGGAAAUUGAUAGAGAGGGCUAAGUUCAGAAACCAAGGAGGAAGUUUCCAUAGAAAGAAAACAAAGUUUUUAGUAUAGGUGUCUUUGGUCGACGACUACUUCGAGCUUUCGUGGUCACCGUGUUAAACUUUCUAGUGGUAUUGAAAUCCUGUCGUCAGUUCGACAACCUAUUUUGAUGCUCCGAAACAGGUAAACGCGCCUUUUUCUUUGAGUUUGUUUUGCUUCUUCAUCUCAUUCUUUGUAGUUUUGUAAUCAUAGUGAUAGUGAGAUGGUUUAUUGUAGAUGGUUGUUAUGGCCAUAGGAUUUUCUUGCAAAGAUUGUCGUUAUGUUGUUCGUUGCAUAAAUGUCUACACUCUAAUCCUUCGCUCCACUUUCGAUUACGUAUGUUUCGAUUUGAUCGUUUUGACUCACCAUAUUAUUUUCAUGUUGUUAGUUAGUUUCAAUCCAUUCUUAAUAGUAAUCAAUAUUGUCAUGGCGGUAUUUUUUUUAGCAUAAAUGUUGCUGAUUUUUUCAGUUUAAAUAGUAUUACUUUCAAGCCAGAAUAUUGUUAUUUUUUUAGUCUAAGUAUUGUUGGGUUUCAACCCCAAAUAUUGUUGUGUUUUUUAGUCCAAGUAGUGCUGUUUUUAGGCCUGUUUAUUGCUGUUUUUUUAGCCUAAAUAUCGCAGGUUUUUAGCCUGAAUGAUGUUUCGGAACUUAAAUAUUUUUCCCAGACCUUGAACAUCGUCGUUGAACGCUUUGGAUUUGUUUUGUUGCGCCAAACAUCUAAAAUUUUCUUACGUAGCAUACAGUUGAGUCAGAUCUUGUUUGGUUGUCUUUAGAAUCGAUCAAUAACAUGUUUGUUGUUUUGUUUCGAUUUAAAUCGGUCUUCCUUUCAAAUUAUAGAUGACCAAAAUAGAUAAUGUGCUUCUUUCUUCUUGAAAAUGACGUUCAAAACUGUUUGUGCUUGAGGCGUUGAUUUAUUUUUCCUUUCCCCCUUUGUUAAAAAUAUGUCCAAUUCAUCUUUUUGUGUCGAUUAGAACAGUGGCUUGUCAAUAUCCUAUUCUUACGUUGGUCUGAUUUUCGCUCAUAGGCUUAAAACUCUUAAGGUUUUGCAAAGCUAUUAUGUAGAAAACAACGAUUCUAUUGUCUUUUGGAUACGAAUCUGCAUCCUCAAUAUUUCUUCCGAUAAAUUGUUUCGGAGUCUAUCGUUUUCUCUUUUUGUCUUUGUUAAUAUGUGUCAUUUGCUACUACUUGUUGAUUCUUUGUUUGUAAUACUUGUUUUUCGGUUAUCUUCUACCCUGUUUAAUUAUCUGGUUCAAUAUAUUAAUUUUUUUUAGCUUCAAGAAUCUUGUGAUGAACUAUCACUUGCUGGUCAUUGAUAUCAAAAUAAAGCAAGAUGUGUUCAAACCAAGCUAUAUAAUUGGUCUUUUCUCUUAAGUUUGUGCUUUCUGGUUGAUAAAUUUUAAGGUGAUAUUUCUAUGGGUGAAAUGAAUCAGGAGCUUUACAUGAUAUUUCUUUUAAUUAGAUCACACUAGUACUGUUUUAUUCAUGCACCAAAUGUAUUCUUUUCCAUGUCAUCACUUAUUUGUUAAGUAACCAACUUUCAAACAUAUAUUAAUUUUCUUACUUUUUACUUUGCAUGUGGAUACGUUUGAGUCCUAAACGGACUCCUUUUCACCUUUGCAUCCUCUCUAUGGGUCCUUGAGGCUCACCUCGUUGAACUAAGCCCAAAAGAAGGUCCAAAAGCCCAUCGUUUGAUGUAUGGUUACGAGAAGACGGAAGGAAAGGAAAUGGAUUAAAGCCCUACGUGUGAAGCGGCUAAGAGACAAAAGUCUCAAUUAUUAUUUCAUUCUACUUAUUGUUGCUUUUUUUUUUUAUUUAUUUUAUUUGUUUGUUCAUUUUAUUCAUUCAUUUGGUCCACGAAGUCGAAGUUGUAAAUUUAAUACAGGUGGAGCGAGACUCGAGCUAAAGACUCGAAAAACAUAGAAUUAGGAUAGGUGCAAAUGGGUCGAAAUCCUAACUAGAUUAGGAUAGGGUCGACGGUUUGGGCUUAAAAGCCUAAAUCAUUACUUUCCCACUUUUUUCCUUUUUUCUUUUCAUUUACUUGUUUGCUUGUCUCUUUGCGAAGUUAGUUAAAUCCCUAACUAAGUCACUAAAAAAUUGAUUUUGAAUGUCAAUAUCCUAUUCUUACGUUGGUCUGAUUUUCGCUCAUAGGCUUAAAACUCUUAAGGUUUUGCAAAGCUAUUAUGUAGAAAACAACGAUUCUAUUGUCUUUUGGAUACGAAUCUGCAUCCUCAAUAUUUCUUCCGAUAAAUUGUUUCGGAGUCUAUCGUUUUCUCUUUUUGUCUUUGUUAAUAUGUGUCAUUUGCUACUACUUGUUGAUUCUUUGUUUGUAAUACUUGUUUUUCGGUUAUCUUCUACCCUGUUUAAUUAUCUGGUUCAAUAUAUUAAUUUUUUUUAGCUUCAAGAAUCUUGUGAUGAACUAUCACUUGCUGGUCAUUGAUAUCAAAAUAAAGCAAGAUGUGUUCAAACCAAGCUAUAUAAUUGGUCUUUUCUCUUAAGUUUGUGCUUUCUGGUUGAUAAAUUUUAAGGUGAUAUUUCUAUGGGUGAAAUGAAUCAGGAGCUUUACAUGAUAUUUCUUUUAAUUAGAUCACGCUAGUACUGUUUUAUUCAUGCACCAAAUGUAUUCUUUUCCAUGUCAUCACUUAUUUGUUAAGUAACCAACUUUCAAACAUAUAUUAAUUUUCUUACUUUUUACUUUGCAUGUGGAUACGUUUGAGUCCUAAACGGACUCCUUUUCACCUUUGCAUCCUCUCUAUGGGUCCUUGAGGCUCACCUCGUUGAACUAAGCCCAAAAGAAGGUCCAAAAGCCCAUCGUUUGAUGUAUGGUUACGAGAAGACGGAAGGAAAGGAAAUGGAUUAAAGCCCUACGUGUGAAGCGGCUAAGAGACAAAAGUCUCAAUUAUUAUUUCAUUCUACUUAUUGUUGCUUUUUUUUUUUAUUUAUUUUAUUUGUUUGUUCAUUUUAUUCAUUCAUUUGGUCCACGAAGUCGAAGUUGUAAAUUUAAUACAGGUGGAGCGAGACUCGAGCUAAAGACUCGUAAAACAUAGAAUUAGGACAGGUGCAAAUGGGUCGAAAGCCCAACUAGAUUAGGACAGGGUCGACGGUUUGGGCUUAAAAGCCUAAAUCAUUACUAGAUUAGGACAGGGUCGACGGUUUGGGAUUAAAAGCCUAAAUCAUUACUUUCCUGCUUUUCCCCCCUUUUCUUUUCAUUUAGUUGUUUGCUUGUCUCUUUGUAAAGCUAGUUAAAUCCCUAACUAAGUCGCUAAAAGUUUGAUUUUGCAAAAAAAUUUUCCUUAAUCAACUAUUUUUCUAGCAAAUUAAUUUUCCAAAGUUAAUCAAAAGAAUGUUUUUAAACAGUCUGGGUAACCGCAAGUUAACGGACGUUUUAGGUUCCUAACACCUUCCUAAAACGUUAAUAGGAACCGCCUACUUAGAAUCUCUUAACUUAAACAAUUUUCCUGUUUUGAAUUGUUUGAAGUAAUUCUCUAAAGGUUUCUUAAUUCCUUUUCAAAAUUAAGUGGCUACUCUCUUUCAAAAUUCAAAAUUUUCGCAAAACAAUUAACUGUCAAAGUUUGAAUUUUGAAAUUCCGACCGAGCCACAUAAAUAAAACAGAGGGAGUAGUAAAAAGAUUAUGAAUUUGAUUACAUACAUAUUUAAUGAAUUUUUUAACACAUAUACAUAAUUUGGGCCAAAGCUACUUGGUUCUGUCAAACAGUAUGCUGAAGGCUACUCUGCCCCUGUUAAUAAGUGAUAUGAUUGUAUUAGUACUUUUUAUAAUGUCAAUGCAUAGAACUUAAUUUCCUUUCUAGUAAGUGUCAUGUAUAGCAUACUUUUAUCUUCUUCUUACUAUGUCCUUUUGGCUUUGGUCAUUACUAUGUGCCAUGUUUGGAACGAUGCCUCACUCUGUUAAAUAAGUUGUCACAUAUGCAUGCAAGGAAGGAACAGUAUACAAGAAAUUUAUGAAUUUGUUCAAAUUAAAGAUGCAUGGUUGAGCGGAGAUUAAGGAAGGUCAUGUCUAUUUCGGAGAAUCAGUUUGGAUUUAUGCUUAGUCGCUCGACGACAGAGGUAAUCCACUUGGCCAGGAGANNNNNNNNNNNUGGAAAGAAAGAGGGAUCUACACAUGGUGUUCAUCUACCUGUAGAAGGCGCAUGACAAAGUCCCUAGGGAAGUUCUUUGGAGGUGCUUGAAGGUGAGAGGGGUCCCGAUGACGUAAAUCAGAGUCAUUAAGGACAUGUACAAUGAAGGGAAGACUCGGGUGAGGAUGGCGGGCGGAGAAUCAGAUCAUUUUUUGGUCGAGACAAGGUUAUAUCAGGGAUCGACUCUCAGUCCGUGUCUGUUUGUGUUGGUGAUGGAUGUGUUGACGCAAAGUAUUCAAGGUGAGGUGCCUUGGUGUAUGUUAUUUGCAGAUGACGUAGUGUUGAUUGAUGAGACACUGGGAGGUGUAAAUAAAAAAUUAGAGGUUUGGAGGCAUACCCUUGAGUCUUAGGGGUUUAGGUUGAGUAGGUCAAAGAUAGAGUAUAUGGAGUGCAAGUUUAGUGACUCGAAGCAGGAGGCCGAAGUGGUGGUAAGGUUGGAUUCCCAGGAUGUUUGCAAGAGGGAUAGUUUUAAAUAUCUCGAAUCUAUGAUUCAGAGGAAUGGCGAGAUUGAUGAGGAUGUCUCUAAGCGUAUUGGAGCAGGUUGGAUGAAGAGGAGGCUCGCCUCGGGAGUGUUGUACGAUAAGAAGGUGCCCUUAAAGCUUAAAGGUAAGUUCUACGGAGUGGCAAUCCGCCCGGCCGUGUUGUAUGGUGCGGAGUGUUGGCCAGUCAAGAACUCCCAUAUUCAAAUAUUGAAGGUAGCGGAAAUGAGAAUGUUGCAUUGGAUGUGUGGGCUUACUAGAAGGGAUAGAGUUAAGAAUGAGAUUAUCCGGAAGAAGGUGGGAGUGGCGUCGGUGGAAGACAAGAUGAGGGAAAAAAGACUGAGAUGGUUUGGGCAUGUGAUAAGGAGGGGCACAGAUGCCCCAGUUCGUAGGUGUGAGAGACUAGCUUUGGAUGGUUUCAGGAGGAGUAGAGGCUGACCGAAGAAAUAUUGGAGAGAGGUGAUUAGACAUAACAUGGAGCUGCUACAGCUUACUGAAGACAUUACCCUAGAUAGGAAGGUGUGGAGGUCGCGAAUAAGGGUGGAAGGCUAGUGCGGGUGUGGGUUGUGACUUGUAGUUAGGGAGCUCUUCUGUAGUCGAUUUAGUAACCCUAGGACUGUCCUUUGGUAGGAGCCGCUAGUGUAUUCUACUACUAGGUGAGUGUCCUUGUCUUAUUUCUUAUUUCCUAUUUCUUAUUUUCGUAGUUCGCUUAUUUUCGUGUCGCUCUUAUUUUUAUUAUUAUUGUUUCUUAUUUCUUAGUUUUUGGUUAUGUCACCCAUCUUGUUUCAUGUAUUAAUAUGACCUUGUUAAUUAUUCUUUAUCUAGAGUCGGGGGUCUAUCAGAAACAACCUCUCUACUUCUUUGGAAGUAGCGGUAUGGACUACGUACAUUCUACCCUCCCCAGACCCCACUUGGUGCAAAUACACUGGGUUUGUUGUUGUUGUUGUUGUUGUAAAGAUGCUAAUUAAAUUAAGGUACACAUAAACCUAAGUAUUAUGACUUGGAAACUCACAUAGUAGUACUUGCUACGUUCAGACUACAAAACACAUUGAUUUUCCCUUUUAACUGAAAUGUCAUUGAUCUAGUAGUAAAAUGUUACGAUGAUCCUCUUUCACUUCUUGACAGAAAAAUGAGGAAUCAUGCAAUAAGCUUAUAUCGUUCAACAUUAUUAUUUGCACUGAUUUUGAGUAUUGCUUCUUGAGAAUUAAUUGAAUUCGAUAAGUUCCUCCGGUCUGUAAAUUUAAGUUUAAGCUUUUAACAGCUUUAUAGUUUUUCUAGUUACCAUAUCCCAAAUGUAGCUUCGGUCGUUUUUGCUAUGUUCUUUUUUUUUUCCUUUGAUAUGAAAGUGGCACUAUAUGAUUCAUGUCUUUGGAAAGUGAAACUCAGAACUACACCAUCAUUGGAAUAUAUCAAACAUUUAUUCUAUUGUCAACUCAAUCACAAUAACUUUACAAGGCCAUCAAGCAAUCAAAUUUUAAGAAUUAUAUGAUGAUAUUCAUUUUCCGGGAACAAAAUUUGUGGCGUAGGCCCAGGCAUUGUUGUUAACCGGAUCUGCUAGGUGGUCAGCAAGGUUCUCCAAUGGACCCUUUCCUGUAACAAUGGCCUGAACAAAGAAUCCAAACAUAGAGAACAUAGCAAGUCUACCGUUCUUGAUCUCCUUUACCUUGAGCUCAGCAAAUGCCUCUGGAUCAUCAGCAAGACCUAAUGGGUCAAAGCUGCCACCGGGAUAGAGUGGGUCGACAACCUCGCCAAGAGGCCCACCAGCAAUACGGUAUCCCUCAACGGCUCCCAUCAAGACAACUUGGCAAGCCCAGAUGGCCAAGAUGCUCUGUGCAUGGACCAAACUUGGGUUGCCCAAGUAGUCAAGUCCACCCUCGCUGAAUAUCUGGGAUCCAGCCUUGAACCACACAGCCUCACCAAACUUGACACCAUUACGGGCCAAGAGCUCGGGGAAAACACAUCCAAGAGCACCAAGCAUAGCCCAUCUGCAGUGGAUCACCUCGAGUUCACGGUUCUUGGCAAAGGUUUCUGGGUCUGCUGAAAGUCCAGCGGUGUCCCAACCAUAGUCACCAGGGAAUUCACCGGUCAAGUAGCUUAGGGGCUCACCAGAGAGUGGGCCCAAGUACUUAACACGGUCUGGGCCAUACCAUGGGCUGCUAGAUGGUGCAGACUUGAGAGCCCUUCUCAUAGAGAUUCUUCCAUUUCCAGUGAUUUCUGAGGGAGAGGGUGAGAGUUUCACUGCCUGUCCAGCAAAAGAAGGGGAAGAAAGAGCCAUUGUAGAAGCUGCCAUGGUUUUUCUCAAGAGAAAGGUAAGUGUUUGAUGGUAUGAAAUAUUGUUGAAGUUGGCUGUGAUGAGGUGAAGUUAAUUACAAGGGGCUUCACCAUAUAUAGGAGGAGUAAGAGCGGUAGAGGCCUUUAUCUAACGAUAUCUACAUCUUUUUCUUUUGGUGUUAACGAUAUCUGUAUCUGUGAUCUCAUUGGGUAAUAAGAUCACAUGUGUAGAAAUUAAUGCACACUUGGCAAUCUCCAGACUCCAAUCCAUCAAUUUUCCAAGAUGUUUACUAAAGGGACCCAUCCAAUAUUGUCCUCCUUUGUGUGGAUACGAGGGUAUUGACUCUAUUCUGUGAUUUGUUGAGCUUACAAUAAGAUAUCUCUUAUCGUUAUCCAUUGGGAAUUUCUCCGGAUUUUAUCUAAUAGCUGGGAAUAAGUUACCAACACUAUAGCUCAUUCAAUGUAGAAGUAGAAACUAGAACUAUGUUUUAAGCAUUCCACUAAAUAAAUUGUGGAAAAACUGAAUUUUUUAAAUCAGAUUGUCAGUUACUAAUGUUUAUCAAAAGAUUAAUUUGUAGUAAUUACUUAAUAAGCAAAAGUGGAUCAGAAUUUGAACUUUUAUGGGUUCUGUAGUCUAGGACGACGACCUUAAAUUCUACUAAAUAGUUUCUAAAUUUAACUUUUCUACAUAUUUAAUAAGUUUAUUAAAACAUACAUGGUUUGGGCCAAAGUUAGUUCUGUCAAACCGGUUUGCUGAAGGGUACCUCUGCGCGUCCAUGUUAAUAAGUGAUAUGAUUGUGUUAUGCGUAAGUAUUUUUACAAUGUCAGUGCAUAGCGUCUCUAUAGGGUCGUCUAUACCUUGUAUCUUCUGCUUACAAUGUCCAUUUGGCUCUGAUCAUUGCUAUGUGAACAUGUUCUUCUCUAAAGAUAGUACCGCAUGCAUGUAAGGAAGGAGGACUACACAAGAAAUUCAAGAAUUUGUUCAAAUCUAAGAGGCUAAUUAAAUUAAGGGCACAUUAGUAUAAUGACCUGGAAACUCAUAUAUUACUUGCUACGUUCAUAUUACAAAACAUAUGCAUUGGUUUUCCCCUUAUCAUUUAAAUGUCAAUGGCCUACGUAGUAGUGAAAUAAUAUUAUGUCCUCUUAAUUUAUCUCACUUCUCUACAGGAAAAUAAGGAAUCAUGUAAAUAGCAUCAUGUUGUUCAUUGUUAUUCUUGGCACUAAGAGUAUUGCUUCAUGAGAAUUAAUUGAAUUUCAAGCUUUACCACAUCCAAAUGUAUCUUGGGUUUUUUGUUUUGGCUCUGUCAUCUUUUUUUCUCGCCUUGAUAUGAAACUGGCAGUAUUUUAUUCAUGCCAUUGGCAAAUGAAAUUCAGGACCAUACAAUAGUUGGAAUAUAAGAAAAAUCCAUUCUAUUGUUAAGUAAACUCACAAUUACAACUUUACAAGGACAUCAAACAAUGAAAUUUUAAGAUUGUUUUAUGAUAUUCAUUUUCCAGGAACAAAGUUUGUGGCGUAGGCCCAUGCGUUGUUGUUAACUGGAUCUGCAAGGUGGUCAGCGAGGUUUUCCAAUGGACCCUUUCCGGUAACAAUGGCCUGAACAAAGAAUCCGAACAUAGAGAACAUAGCAAGUCUACCGUUCUUGAUCUCCUUUACCUUGAGCUCAGCAAAUGCCUCUGGAUCAUCAGCAAGACCCAAUGGGUCAAAACUGCCCCGGGGUAUAGUGGGUCGACAACUUCACCAAGAGGCCCACCAGCAAUACGGUAUCCCUCAACGGCUCCCAUCAAGACAACUUGGCAAGCCCAGAUGGCCAAGAUGCUCUGUGCAUGAACCAAGCUUGGGUUGCCCAAGUAGUCAAGUCCACCCUCGCUGAAGAUUUGGGAUCCAGCCUUGAACCACACAGCCUCACCAAACUUGACACCGUUACGGGCCAACAGCUCGGGGAAGACACAUCCAAGGGCACCAAGCAUAGCCCAUCUGCAGUGGAUCACCUCGAGUUCUCGGUUCUUGGCAAAGGUUUCUGGAUCUGCUGAAAGUCCACCGGUGUCCCACCCGUAGUCACCAGGGAAUUCACCGGUCAAGUAGCUUGGGGCCUCACCGGAGAAUGGGCCCAAGUACUUAACACGGUCUGGGCCAUACCAUGGGCUGCCAGAUGAGGCAGGCUUGGUGACAGCCUUUCUCACAGAGAUCCUUCCAUUUCCAGUGAUUUCUGAGGCAGAGGGUGAGAGUUUCACUGCCUGUCCAGCAAAAGAAGGGGAAGAAAGAGCCAUUGUAGAAGCUGCCAUGGCUUAUCUCAAGAGAAAGGUAAGUGUUUGAUGGUAUAAAAUAUUGUUGAAGUUGGUUGUAAGGAUGCUGAAGUUAGUUGGGUUCAGAAUGUAUAGGGGUUAAGUAGAGAGAAAAAAUCCUCUUAUCUAGUGCUGUCUAUAGCUAUGAUUUCAUUGGGUAUCAAGAUCCCAUGUAUAGCAAUUAAUGCACUCUUGGCAAUCUCCAAUCCAUCAAUUUUCCAAGAUGUUCACUAAGGGGAACCCAACCAAUUUUGUCUUCCUAUAUGUGGCUGCAAAGCUUGAAAUCUAUUCUAUGAUUUCUUGAGCUUCAAUAUGAUAUCUCUUAUCCAUUGAGAAUUUCUCAAGAUUUUAUCCACCAGGAGUAUAGCUCAUUCAGUGUAGAACUAUGGCUUAGCAUUUCACUAAUUAAAUUGAGGAAAAGCUGAAAUUCAUUUGUAUCAGAUCAUCAAUUACUAAUGUUUGUCAAAAGAUUAACCUGUAAUUGCUUAAUAAGAAAAGGUGGAUCAAGAAUUGAACUUUAUGAGUUCUGAAAUCCUGGACUAGACCUUAAGUAGUAUAUCCUCCGCCUCAAUUUAUGUGACACAAUUGAAAUUUCGCGAGUCUACCAAGUUUUUUUUUGAUGGAAAUAUCUUUGUAUGUCUUUUAAAUAUUUCAAGUUGUUAAUUAUUGAUAGUAGUACUUUUUGUUUUUAGAUGACCGUGGUGUCCCAUACUUGCCACCUCCCACCAACAUGGGAUUUGAACCUAAAACCUUUGAGGUUCUCAACCCACUUCAUUGACCAUUAGACCUUGGGUGCAUUGUGAUUUACAGUAUUGUUUUAAUAGUUUCCAAGUACAUAGAUUUUAUUUCAAAAAACUUAAAACUUUUGUGUCCAAAUUGACUGUUAAAAGUUUGAAUUUUGAAAUUCCUACCGUGCCACAUAACAGAGGGAGUAAUAAAAAGAUUCUGAAUUUGAUGUACAUACAUAUUUAAUGGUUUUUGUAACACAUAUACAUAAUUUGGGCCAAAGCUACUUGGUUCUAUCAAACAGUAUGCUGAAGGCUACCCCUGCACCUGUUAAUAAGUGAUAUGAUUGUAUUUAGUAUUUUUUAUAAUGUUAAUGCAUAGAACUUAAUUUCCUUUGUAGUAAGUUUCAUGUAUAGCUUACUUUUAUCUUCUUCUUACUAUGUCCUUUUGGCUCUGGUCAUUACUAUGUGCCAUGUUUCGAAGGAUGCCUGCCUCUGUUAAAUAAGCCGUCACACAGGCAUGCAAGGAAGGAAGGAAGAGUAUACAAGAAAUUUAUGGAUUUGUUCAAAUAAAAGAUGCUAAUUAAAUUAACGUACACGUAAACCUAAGUAUUAUGACCUGGAAACUCAUAUAGCAGUACUUGCUACAUUCAGACCACAAAAAUAUUGGUUUUCCCUUUUAACUGAAAUGUCAUUGGUCUAGUAGUAAAAUAAUAUGAUGAUCCUCUUUCACUUCUUGACAGAAAAAUGAGUAAUAAUGUAAUAACAUCAUAUCGUUCAACAUUAUUCUUUGCACUCAUUUUGAGUAUUGCUUCUUGAGAAUUAAUUGAAUUCCAUUAGUUCCUCCGGUCUGAAAAAUGUAAGUUUUAGCUUUUAACAGCUUUAUAACUUUUCUAGUUACCAUAUCCCAAUUGUAGCUUCGGUCUUUUUCUGCUAUGCUCUUCUUCGUUUUUCCUUUGGUAUGAAAGUGGCAAUAUAUGAUUCAUGUCUUUGGAAAGUGAAACUCAGAACUAGACCGUCAAUGGAAAAUAACAAACAUUUAUUCUAUUGUCAACUCACUCACAACAACUUUACAAGGCCAUCAAACAAUCAAAUUUUAAGAAUUAUAUUAUGAUAUUCAUUUUCCAGGAACAAAGUUUGUGGCGUAGGCCCAGGCAUUGUUGUUAACCGGAUCUGCUAGAUGGUCAGCAAGGUUCUCCAAUGGACCCUUUCCUGUAACAAUGGCCUGAACAAAGAAUCCAAACAUAGAGAACAUAGCAAGUCUACCGUUCUUGAUCUCCUUUACCUUGAGCUCAGCAAAUGCCUCUGGAUCAUCAGCAAGACCUAAUGGGUCAAAGCUGCCACCGGGAUAGAGUGGGUCGACAACCUCGCCAAGAGGCCCACCAGCAAUACGGUAUCCCUCAACGGCUCCCAUCAAGACAACUUGGCAAGCCCAGAUGGCCAAGAUGCUCUGUGCAUGGACCAAACUUGGGUUGCCCAA
rnacentral:lncRNA from 1 species